CAGUCACCAGAACCUUGGAGGUCUCCUGCUAAAGAAGCAGGAACGUUGAGGGGCUUGAACUUUCCUGUCUUCAGAGAGACACGUGGCUUCCAUCCUUAAGAUCACCUAGCGAUCCAAGAAGGAUCCUGGAGACCCAGCCCAUCCAGCCAUGCUGCAAACCUGCAGAAGAGUUUCUACUAACCAAACCAGCUCCUCUGAAAGAAGGUGCUUCAUCAUCUGUCCUCAGGCAAAGGAGAAAACUGCAUGAGAAUCUGCUGCUUCAGCCUCUUGAUCAGAGAUGAAAACAAGCCAUCGGUACACGUACACGAUGCUAUCUGGCUUCCUCUGUGUGGAAGGUGCUGAUAGAAAUCAAGAGGGUCCUGUUUGCCAAGACCACAAGUUCCGGCUCUGGAGGCCAGGAAGCCUAAGAUGAAGAAGCUAGCAUGUUAGUGUGUGGGGAGAGCCAGCUGCCUGGCUUGUAGAAGGCUACCUCUUGCUGUGUCCUCUCCUGGUCUCUUCUCUGUGUAAGUGAACAUGGGAAGAGAGCGUGAGCUCUGGUUUCUCUUCCUCUUCCUAGAAGUGUGCUAAUCCCAUCAUGGGGGCCCCAGCCUCUUGACCUCAUCCAAACCUAACUACCUCCCAAAGGCCCCACCUCCUAAUACAGUCACAUUGGGGUUAGGACUUCAACAUCUGAAUUUGGUGAGGGAGGGAUAUGGGAUAU